CAGCCGCGGUAUUCCAGCUCCAAUAGCGUAUAUUAAAGUUGUUGCAGUUAAAAAGCUCGUAGUUGAAUUUCGGGAUUGACGUGAUGGUCAUGCCUUAAGGGGUAUGAACUGUUACUGUUGAUUUCUCACCUUCUGGAGAAACUUGAUGUCCUUUAUUGGGUGUCUUGCGGAUCCAGGACCUUUACCUUGAAAAAAUUAGAGUGUUUAAAGCAGGCAUUUUUGCUCGAAUACAUUAGCAUGGAAUAAUAGAAUAGGACGGCAUGGUUCUAUUUUGUUGGUUUCUAGGAUCACCGUAAUGAUUAAUAGGGAUAGUUGGGGGCAUUAGUAUUCAAUUGUCAGAGGUGAAAUUCUUGGAUUUAUUGAAGACUAACUACUGCGAAAGCAUUUGCCAAGGAUGUUUUCAUUAAUCAAGAACGAAAGUUAGGGGAUCGAAGACGAUCAGAUACCGUCGUAGUCUUAACCAUAAACUAUGCCGACUAGGAAUCAGACGAUGUUAAUUUUUUAAUGACUCGUUUGGCACCUUACG
rnacentral:misc_RNA from 1 species